AUGGUGAUGGUCUAUUCGGUGGAAUAAAGAGAAAAUCGAAAUUCUCUUUUGGAGAGAUGGCUGAGUGGUUGAUAGCUCCGGUCUUGAAAACCG
rnacentral:tRNA from 1 species